GAGCCCGCGUCCUAUUAGCUAGUUGGUAAGGUAACGGCUUACCAAGGCGACGAUGGGUAGCCGGUCUGAGAGGACGAACGGCCACACUGGAACUGAGACACGGUCCAGACUCCUACGGGAGGCAGCAGUGGGGAAUUUUGCGCAAUGGGGGAAACCCUGACGCAGCAACGCCGCGUGGAUGAUGAAGGCCUUCGGGUCGUAAAGUCCUGUUCUGGGGGAAGUGACGGUACCCAAGGAAUAAGCCUCGGCCAACUACGUGCCAGCAGCCGCGGUAAUACGUAGGAGGCGAACGUUAUUCGGAUUUACUGGGCGUAAAGGGAGCGUAGGCGGUUCCUUAAGUCAGAUGUGAAAUCUUCUGAUUCAAUCAGAAGGGGUCAUUUGAUACUGAGGGACUUGAGAACAGCAGAGGGAAAUGGAAUCCCCAGUGUAGCGGUGAAAUGCGUAGAU
rnacentral:rRNA from 1 species